rnacentral:sRNA from 1 species
UUUUUUUGAUUAAAUUUUUCUAUUGCCAUUGUCAUGUAAUUAAUUACAAAAAUUAAGGUUACAUUUAAAAUGUACUUCCCAAAUAAUAUAGUAGGAUAGAUUGAAAAUUUGUCUAGAAAAUAAAUACU